rnacentral:rRNA from 1 species
UACGAAGGGGGCUAGCGUUGUUCGGAUUUACUGGGCGUAAAGCGCACGUAGGCGGAUCGUUAAGUCGGGGGGUGAAAUCCUGGAGCUCAACUCCAGAACUGCCUUCGAUACUGGCGAUCUUGAGUCCGGAAGAGGUGAGUGGAACUCCUAGUGUAGAGGUGGAAUUCGUAGAUAUUAGGAAGAACACCAGUGGCGAAGGCGGCUCACUGGUCCGGUACUGGACGCUGAGGUGCGAAAAGCGUGGGGAGCAAACAGGG